CGGGGGGGCAAGCGUUGUUCGGAAUUACUGGGCGUAAAGGGCCAGUAGGCGGCCAACUAAGUCGGAUGUGAAAUCCCCAGGCUCAACCUGGGAACUGCAUCCGAUACUGGAUGGCUUGAAUUCGGGAGAGGGAUGCAGAAUUCCAGGUGUAGCGGUGAAAUGCGUAGAUAUCUGGAGGAAUACCGGUGGCGAAGGCGGCAUCCUGGACCGACAUUGACGCUGAACGGCGAAAGCUAGGGGAGCAAACGGGAUUAGAUACCCCGGUAGUCCUAGCCCUAAACGAUGAAUGCUUGGUGUAACGGGUAUCGAUCCCUGUUGUGCCGAAGCUAACGCAUUAAGCAUUCCGCCUGGGGAGUACGGUCGCAAGGCUG
rnacentral:rRNA from 1 species